CACAUAAUUGCUAAUUAGUUACUUCUUUGAUUCAGCUCGUUUGAAGGUUUGUAAGUCAUUGUAAAUUGAUUUAUCCCAAUUGAAGGUAAUUGAAUGGCUAUUUCGCCCUACAAUGAAAAAAAAUAUCGCAAUCAUCUACAAUGGACCUUCAAAUGGGCUGAAUGAAAAAAAAUAUAUUUUUAAUUAUGCGGUGCUAACUACAUGGCGCUACACUGAGCACUCUUUCUGACAUUCUCAUACGCGGCCUGCCAGCACGGAGGAGUUGACCACCGAAUUAAAUAUAAAAGUUUUUGCUGGGAUUUGCUUACUGCCACACCUGAUAUCCCCCUCUCAGAAGAAAUAAAAAAUGUGGGAGCCUUCUGUGCCUGAUUGCAAAGACAGUCUCAUACUGAUUUCUAAGACUACAAACGAUGUUGAUCGAUAGAUUUCUGAGCGUAAUCAAACCGUGAAACAGCUGAAGCAACCUCUUCGACCAUUCAUCGUCGCUGUGGAAUUAAAAAAAAAAGUCUCAUCAGACGUUUACGUCGUACUCGACAAACAAGUAAUGUAUGAAUGUAGAGGUAUCCUUCAUGCAUUCAACGUUCUAUCCAAAAUCUACAAGGUUCUUAAUUUAAGUUAUCCCGCUGCCAGCGAAUAUUUGGUGCAAAUCAUCGAAGAGGGGCUUUACAGUAUUCAGGUGAAAAACAUAGGUUCUGUUACUUCUGAAAUUCUCUCUGAUCUGGAUGGUCUGUGUGAAAGUACCUCGUGAACCAUUGUUUUCUUUUAAAAUCUAUUUAUUCCAAAUUUGAUUUUCAAGCGUUUUUUACGUUUUUCGAUAUCAGAUAUAUCCAAGUUUUGAGUUCAUUUUAUGACGCGUAGAGAGUAUUUAGGGAAAAAUACACGAGGAAAAAUGUAUCCGUGUCCCUUUUGUGAGAAGAUUGGAAGGAAUGUUGAUAUUUUUAGAUUUCAUAUUAAAGCUCAUGGGAAAUCUUAUACUACGUGUUAUUGUCCCGUAGAGGAUUGUUUACGUUCUUUCUCUAAUAUUUAUAAUUAUGAGAAGCACGUUAGGAAAGGUAAUUUUAAUAUUAUCAUCAUAGAUCAUUUUAAUUCAAUAUCGAUUGGAAAGCGCAAAUUAAUGAAAAAAAGAUGAAGAUGAAAAACAUCUCAGAACAGAGGAUAAUCCCAUCAACUCCAUUACUGAACGAUUAGAUAAUACGAAUUUAAACCACGAUACACGCAUACAUGAAAACAAUUUAGUGAAUUGCUUGCAAUUUCAUAAUGACUCACUCCUUCAUACCUCGAGUAGUAAUAAUCUGCCAUUAUCGAAUCUUGACAUUAUUAUCUACCAAAAAGGAACUCAAUUGAGGGCAGCUAAAUUAUUGAGUAAAUUGU